rnacentral:sRNA from 1 species
UACUAAUGCCUUAUACGUAACUAUUCUA